rnacentral:rRNA from 1 species
CGAACGGUGAUGAGGAGUCGCUUUCUCUGAGAGUGGCGAACGGGUGAGUCACACGUGAGCAAUCUGCCCUUGAUCUGGGAUAAGCGUUGGAAACGACGUCUAAUACCGGAGACGAGCCUUGGAGGCAUCUCUGGGGGUGGAAAGAGUUUUGGUCAAGGAUGAGCUCGCGGCCUAUCAGCUAGUUGGUGAGGUAAUGGCUCACCAAGGCGACGACGGGUAGCCGGCCUGAGAGGGUGACCGGCCACACUGGGACUGAGACACGGCCCAGACUCCUACGGGAGGCAGCAGUGGGGAAUAUUGCACAAUGGGCGAAAGCCUGAUGCAGCAACGCCGCGUGAGGGACGACGGCCUUCGGGUUGUAAACCUCUUUUAGUAGGGAAGAAGCGAUGUGCUUGCCACAAAGUGACGGUACCUGCAGAAAAAGCACCGGCUAACUACGUGCCAGCAGCCGCGGUAAUACGUAGGGUGCAAGCGUUGUCCGGAAUUAUUGGGCGUAAAGAGCUCGUAGGCGGUUUGUCGCGUCUGCUGUGAAAACCCGAGGCUCAACCUCGGGCCUGCAGUGGGUACGGGCAGACUAGAGUGCGGUAGGGGGAGAUUGGAAUUCCUGGUGUAGCGGUGGAAUGCGCAGAUAUCAGAGGAACACCAAUGGCGAAGGCAGAUCUCUGGGCCGUAACUGACGCUGAGGAGCGAAAGCAUGGGGAGCGAACAGGAUUAGAUACCCUGGUAGUCCAUGCCGUAAACGUUGGGAACUAAAUGUGGGGACCAUUUCACGGUCUCCGUGUCGCAGCUAACGCAUUAAGUUCCCCGCCUGGGGAGUACGGCCGCAAGCUAAAACUCAAAGGAAUUGACGGGGCCCGCACAAGCGCGAGCAUGCGAUUAAUUCGAUGCACGCGAGACUACCAGCUGACAUAUAGAGAAACGUCUGAACAGUCGCCCGCAGUCUCUAUACAGUGGUGCAUGUGUCGUCAGCUCUGUCUGAGAUGUUGGUUAGUCCGCACGAGCGCACCUCGUCCAUGUGCAGCACGUAAUGUGGAACUCAUGGGAUACUGCC